rnacentral:tRNA from 1 species
GCGGGCGAGGUGUAACUGGUUGCACAUCAGCCUUCCAAGCUGAAGGAAGCGGGUUCGAGUCCCGUCGCCCGCU